GAUGCCGAACUUCUAAUGAAUGAAAAUCAUUGGAAAGUUUGCCGCUGGCAAGAUUCGCUAAUAAGACACAUUGUCUAGCCAAAGGAUCUGGUCGAACCGAAAGCGACGGAAGCGCCAGUGAAGAGUAAAAGAUGCCGACAGAAAUAAAAGGAACGAUGGGCCCAGGGUCUGGUCUUUGGUCCCUGGGUCGUUCCCUGGUCCCUGGUCCCCUAUCCCUAUCCCAAUACCUAUUCCAGUCCCAAGUCCCUUCAGCCUGGUCCUGUUUUGUUUGUCCCGGCGCUUCGAGUGUCCCCUAGACGGCGCAGAGAGCACUUGUUUGGAUUUAUAUUUCGGUUUGCUUAGGUCCGAGAGGAGCCGGCUAAAGUGCCAGGCAAUCAAAAACAAAUUAUGAGUGCUACAAUUUGCCCGGGGAAUGCGGAUCGUAAUGGGAUCGGAAUGGGAGUGGGUAUAUGUAUAUGUAUAUCCCCUUAUCGCCGGCUUAUCAAUGUUUAUGGGGGCAGCUAAUGCACUUGGCGUGCAGUUGCCUUUGGCGUUGGCAUUGAACUUUCGCCGGAACGAAAGACGGGGAACGAGAAACGGAGAACGGGCCUAAAACAAUGGCCCAAUCGGGCACACUCCACUGACCCACUUGGCCGGGGAAGAGGCGGCUUAAUCACGGCUGCAAAUCCUAUAUCAAUAAUUGACUUGAAAGCAAACAAUUUAUGAUGACCUAAGCCCGAACAAAGAGCGCAAAAGGGUGCGGUAAUCAAAGGAAUUGGCAAGGAGAGAGGGCGAGUCGAUUGGGAAUGGGAUUGGGAUUGGGCCAAGCGGAUAAGGCCAACUCAGCACCAUGGCCCAAAAGCGUUGCGAUGACGGGGAAGAUGAUGAUGCCAAUGCCGAUGCCGAUGCCGAGCCGAUAAUAUAAACGAUGAACGAUAGAGCACGUCGACCCACACAAACUAAUGUGAAAGUUGUGGGAGGAGAGGCGAAUGCGAUGACUGGCAAAGGAUGGACCAAGUAGGAACUGUUGCUGCAGCGGAUGACCUUUGGAGAACCCAACCCGUCAUCCAGCUCCCAAGUGAAAACAUCUCGAGAGCAAUAAAUGGCAGACGAAGAAGCGGAAAAAUUGGAAAUUCCAAAUGGAAAAGCAAAGCAAAUAAAUAUCUUAUGGGCAAACAUUA